GAGGCGGGGCCAACUGGCUUUGAGGAGAAACACUGAGCCGCUCGGUCUUCUGAGCUCCUCCAUGCUCUUUCCUCUGCGGGUCAAGCCUUCCUUCAACCCUCCCCGCCUUGCACACCUAAAGGACGAUCAGUCCUGGGCGGCCCCCUUCACUUCGGUGAUUCUGUGUCCUACCGCCAAAGCCCCUGGUAGGAAACAUCUUUUGGUGCGUAUACCAAAAGCGUCUCCACCUGUGGUUCCCAAUUCAGGACAGCCAAGCACCCGUCCUUGCUCAAAUGCCCUAAGACCCCACUCACUCCUCUGACGCAGCUCUGGUUUGGCACCGUUAGCUGAUCUGCUUGGUCCGCUUGCUAGGCCUUCACCCACAAUCCUAAAGUCCCUCUGCCCCUGAGGACUGAACGUGUUUUCUUUAGGGUGAGAUAUAAAAGGUGGAGCUGAGCCAGCGACUGGAUUAUAGAGACUCAUUUGAGUGAUGACUAAAAAAAAAAAUCUCUUGAAUAAUGGAUCUUAAACCUCUAAUUCUAAAGAUUAUUUUUAAUUAUAUUAAUGAAUUAGUUUGUAUUUUAAUUAUGUGUAUGGGUGUGAAGGUGGGUAUGUGUACUCCAGUGCAGAUACGAGUGGACGCCAGAGACGGGCUCUCCCUGAGGUUAAAGUUGCAAGUAGUUGUGGUUUUGGAAACUGAAUUGUGAUCCUCUAUGAGAGCAGUAGAGGACACCACCAUCUUGUGCACUCAUGACUGCACAUACCCACACAUACAGUCCUGCUACCAAGUGACAUAAGUUUGCAGAACCAGAAGGAAAUGGGUAGAAACUAGAAUUUUUGCGGGUGCAUUUUCAUCUACAGCUGAUCAAGGCUUUGGGAAGGCUACCAAUGCUAGUUUCUCCUUGAACACCCAGACACUGCCACCUCACCUUGUGUGCUCCACAGGACUCCUUGAUGAUGACAGACGGUGUCCUUUGAGUCCUGGCCCCCAUGACAUCCAAAGACAAAGCAGUGAUGUCCUUGCCAGUUUCUCCCUGGGAUGCCAUCCUUGAGGCUGCCAAAAACCAGCUUCCAUCUCUGGAUUCAGACUCGUCCCUGGUGAGCAAGAGCUUUCUCCUGGAUAUUAACUGCCAGCCUGGGCAAGGACAGCUUCGGGCACUCCUCUACAGACCCCACUUUGGUCUAUGGACUUUAUUUUCACUCAUCAGUGUCUGGGAUUACUUCUGGGUAUCCACUUCUUCCAGGCUUCUCUCUGGGUUUGCCAGAACUCUUGAGUGUGGAUAUUAGUGCUCUGUAUCUCCAAGGCCACUCCUCCUGUGGUCCUAACUCCCAGGUGGACUCGGUACCAAAGCCCUGGACUUCCCACCCUGCUGUUGGACUGCUCUCAACUCUGUUGGGUCCGGUCGGGUCCAGCUCCAAGCUCUGAGAGUGAUAACCUUGCCAAGGCCACAUGGUAUGGUCUGGGAGGGAUUCUGCCACUUGAGGUGAGCCGGGGGGUCACUGACAGUAUCAGUGGCCAUUUAUACAUGUGAGAGGGAUCCAUUGUGAUCCACUGGUCAGACGCUCAGCACAUAGGUUGGCACAGGACAUUUCAAGUGAAGAGCAAGGAUUCUAGAAGCAAGGUGACUAGUUUGUGCCUCUUCACUACCGUUGUUCAGUGCUGGCUUUAAUGCAGUGUCCAUUGUAUGCAUUAAUGCAGCAUCUGUUGUGUGCAUUAACACAGCACAUCCAUUGUCUAAUUAAUGCAGCAUCCGUUGUGUGCAAGGCUUGCAUAUGGCCUGUGAAAAACGAAGCCCACAUCUCACCAACAGGAGGUAUGCUGCCAAGCCUGUUUUCAAAUUGGCAGCAGAAAGCAGCACAGAACAAGGCCCUUUGUCGAGAACUGAUCUUUCCAGACCUGCUCCUGGGCAGGAUGUGCAAAGUAUGACUGCCUUUUCCUCUAAAGUGCCCUGGUCUCUCUGCAGUCUGACUGUGAGGAAGAAGAGCUCUUCAUCUUUCAGCGGAACGAGCCCGUCCUGAUUCCAGACCUGACUGAGGAGCUGGCUGAAGACCCUGUUGGUGUCGAUGAGUCAGGGACCUGGGUUACUGCAGGGAGGAGUCCUUCACCUGAGGUCUGUAGGACACUGGCCUUGGGAACUCUGGAGGGGAGGGGAGGGAGGUCGUCCCAAGUCUCAUAAGGAUUCCACGAGCAGUGGAAUGGUUAAACCACUGGUUUUGCCUCUCUUCCUCCCACAAGGACAGCCUGGCCAUCGGGUAUGUAGCACAUGAGCACGCCCUCCCUCAGAACUAGGAGCACAUUUGAUUUUCUCUCUGAUUUCCCACCCUGAUCUGUGUUGUUUUCUACCAAGACAUUUUAUAUUGUCUGGC
rnacentral:lncRNA from 1 species